rnacentral:rRNA from 1 species
ACGUCCGUCGUGAAGAGGGAAACAACCCAGACCGCCAGCUAAGGUCCCAAAGUCAUGGUUAAGUGGGAAACGAUGUGGGAAGGCCCAGACAGCCAGGAUGUUGGCUUAGAAGCAGCCAUCAUUUAAAGAAAGCGUAAUAGCUCACUGGUCGAGUCGGCCUGCGCGGAAGAUGUAACGGGGCUAAACCAUGCACCGAAGCUGCGGCAGCGACGCUGAUGCGUUGUUGGGUAGGGGAGCGUUCUGUAAGCCUGCGAAGGUGUGCUGUGAGGCAUGCUGGAGGUAUCAGAAGUGCGAAUGCUGACAUAAGUAACGAUAAAGCGGGUGAAAAGCCCGCUCGCCGGAAGACCAAGGGUUCCUGUCCAACGUUAAUCGGGGCAGGGUGAGUCGACCCCUAAGGCGAGGCCGAAAGGCGUAGUCGAUGGGAAACAGGUUAAUAUUCCUGUACUUGGUGUUACUGCGAAGGGGGGACGGAGAAGGCUAUGUUGGCCGGGCGACGGUUGUCCCGGUUUAAGCGUGUAGGCUGGUUUUCCAGGCAAAUCCGGAAAAUCAAGGCUGAGGCGUGAUGACGAGGCACUACGGUGCUGAAGCAACAAAUGCCCUGCUUCCAGGAAAAGCCUCUAAGCAUCAGGUAACAUCAAAUCGUACCCCAAACCGACACAGGUGGUCAGGUAGAGAAUACCAAGGCGCUUGAGAGAACUCGGGUGAAGGAACUAGGCAAAAUGGUGCCGUAACUUCGGGAGAAGGCACGCUGAUAUGUAGGUGAAGUCCCUCGCGGAUGGAGCUGAAAUCAGUCGAAGAUACCAGCUGGCUGCAACUGUUUAUUAAAAACACAGCACUGUGCAAACACGAAAGUGGACGUAUACGGUGUGACGCCUGCCCGGUGCCGGAAGGUUAAUUGAUGGGGUUAGCGCAAGCGAAGCUCUUGAUCGAAGCCCCGGUAAACGGCGGCCGUAACUAUAACGGUCCUAAGGUAGCGAAAUUCCUUGUCGGGUAAGUUCCGACCUGCACGAAUGGCGUAAUGAUGGCCAGGCUGUCUCCACCCGAGACUCAGUGAAAUUGAACUCGCUGUGAAGAUGCAGUGUACCCGCGGCAAGACGGAAAGACCCCGUGAACCUUUACUAUAGCUUGACACUGAACAUUGAGCCUUGAUGUGUAGGAUAGGUGGGAGGCUUUGAAGUGUGGACGCCAGUCUGCAUGGAGCCGACCUUGAAAUACCACCCUUUAAUGUUUGAUGUUCUAACGUGGACCCGUAAUCCGGGUUGCGGACAGUGUCUGGUGGGUAGUUUGACUGGGGCGGUCUCCUCCUAAAGAGUAACGGAGGAGCACGAAGGUUGGCUAAUCCUGGUCGGACAUCAGGAGGUUAGUGCAAUGGCAUAAGCCAGCUUGACUGCGAGCGUGACGGCGCGAGCAGGUGCGAAAGCAGGUCAUAGUGAUCCGGUGGUUCUGAAUGGAAGGGCCAUCGCUCAACGGAUAAAAGGUACUCCGGGGAUAACAGGCUGAUACCGCCCAAGAGUUCAUAUCGACGGCGGUGUUUGGCACCUCGAUGUCGGCUCAUCACAUCCUGGGGCUGAAGUAGGUCCCAAGGGUAUGGCUGUUCGCCAUUUAAAGUGGUACGCGAGCUGGGUUUAGAACGUCGUGAGACAGUUCGGUCCCUAUCUGCCGUGGGCGCUGGAGAAUUGAGGGGGGCUGCUCCUAGUACGAGAGGACCGGAGUGGACGCAUCACUGGUGUUCGGGUUGUCAUGCCAAUGGCACUGCCCGGUAGCUAAAUGCGGAAGAGAUAAGUGCUGAAAGCAUCUAAGCACGAAACUUGCCCCGAGAUGAGUUCUCCCUGACUCCUUGAGAGUCCUGAAGGAACGUUGAAGACGACGACGUUGAUAGGCCGGGUGUGUAAGCGCAGCGAUGCGUUGAGCUAACCGGUACUAAUGAACCGUGAGGCUUAACCUUACAACGCCGAAG